GCUUUGACUCCUCCGGCCAUUUAGAGCAGUCCCACUCCGAUCUUGAGAGGGACACCUUUGCCCUCCUCUUCCGAUCCAUGUCGUUGCUGCUGGCACGGACAUCCCCCCAGUUAUUUGCUACCAGUGCUGGGCGUUGAUUGGAGACGAACGUCUCGACGGGGAUUGUUUAGCUUGAUCUACAUUAAAGAUAAAGGAUUUAUGGAGUCGCCUGGAGAACUUGUCCACUAAUCCCACAUCACAUUCGAG